rnacentral:piRNA from 1 species
UUUGGCUGGCAACCUUCCC